AUUGAACGCUGGCGGCAUGCCUUACACAUGCAAGUCGAACGGCAGCACGGGUGCUUGCACCUGGUGGCGAGUGGCGAACGGGUGAGUAAUACAUCGGAACAUGUCCUGUAGUGGGGGAUAGCCCGGCGAAAGCCGGAUUAAUACCGCAUACGAUCUACGGAUGAAAGCGGGGGACCUUCGGGCCUCGCGCUAUAGGGUUGGCCGAUGGCUGAUUAGCUAGUUGGUGGGGUAAAGGCCUACCAAGGCGACGAUCAGUAGCUGGUCUGAGAGGACGACCAGCCACACUGGGACUGAGACACGGCCCAGACUCCUACGGGAGGCAGCAGUGGGGAAUUUUGGACAAUGGGCGAAAGCCUGAUCCAGCAAUGCCGCGUGUGUGAAGAAGGCCUUCGGGUUGUAAAGCACUUUUGUCCGGAAAGAAAUCCUUGGCCCAAUACGGUCGGGGGAUGACGGUACCGGAAGAAUAAGCACCGGCUAACUACGUG
rnacentral:rRNA from 1 species